UACGUAGGGGGCAAGCGUUGUUCGGAAUUACUGGGCGUAAAGGGCGCGUAGGCGGCACGGUAAGUCGGGAGUGAAAGCCCGGGGCUCAACCCCGGAACGUCUUUCGAAACUGCCGAGCUAGAGUGCGGAAGAGGCAACUGGAAUUCCCAGUGUAGCGGUGAAAUGCGUAGAUAUUGGGAAGAACACCUGAGGCGAAGGCGGGUUGCUGGGCCGACACUGACGCUGAUGCGCGAAAGCCAGGGGAGCGAACGGG
rnacentral:rRNA from 1 species